GAUGAACGCUGGCGGCGUGCCUAACACAUGCAAGUCGAGCGAACGGACGAUAAGCUUGCUUCGCUGAUGUUAGCGGCGGACGGGUGAGUCACACGUGGAUCACCCACCUAUAAUACUGGGAUAAUCACGGGAAACCGGAGCUUAUACCGGAGAAUAUUCUGAACCGCAUGGUUCAAAAGUGAGAGACGGCGUUGCGGGCGGUUGUGGAUGGAUGCGCGCUGCAUGAGCUAGUUGGUGGGGUAGCGGCUUAUCAAGGCAAUGACGGGUAGCCGGCAUGAGAGGGGGACCGGCCACAUGGGGACUGAGAUACGGCCCAGACUCCUACGGGAGGCAGCAGUGGGGAAUAUUGCACAAGGGGCGGAAGCCUGAUGCAGCAACGCCGCGUGCGGGAUGACGGCCUUCGGGUUGUAAACCGCUUUCGCCUGUGACGAAGCGUGAGUGACGGUAAUGGGUAAAGAAGCACCGGCUAACUACGUG
rnacentral:rRNA from 1 species